rnacentral:rRNA from 1 species
UACGAAGGGGGCUAGCGUUGCUCGGAAUCACUGGGAGUAAAGGGUGCGUAGGCGGGUCUUUAAGUCAGGGGUGAAAUCCUGGAGCUCAACUCCAGAACUGCCUUUGAUACUGAGGAUCUUGAGUUCGGGAGAGGUGAGUGGAACUGCGAGUGUAGAGGUGAAAUACGUAGAUAUUCGCAAGAACACCAGUGGCGAAGGCGGCUCACUGGCCCGAUACUGACGCUGAGGCACGAAAGCGUGGGGAGCAAACAGG